rnacentral:rRNA from 1 species
UACGGAGGGUGCGAGCGUUGUCCGGAAUCACUGGGCGUAAAGGGCGCGUAGGCGGCGCCCCAAGUCGGUGGUGAAAGCCCGUGGCUCAACUGCGGGUCGGCCACCGAUACUGGGGGGCUGGAGCACGGUAGAGGCAGGUGGAAUUCCGGGUGUAGCGGUGGAAUGCGUAGAGAUCCGGAAGAACACCGGUGGCGAAGGCGAGUCUCUGGACAUUUCCUGACGCUGAGGCACGAAAGCCAGGGGAGCAAACGGG